CUUCCAUCUUGCAAAGGAGGCAGUAGGACUAGAUGAGAAAGCUGGGGACCCAGAGACGCAGAUUUAAGCCUGAGGCUUUCUCUUUGGAGGCCCGACACCCUCUUUCCGGAGCCCUCUGCACCUGUUCACCGGCCGCCUCAGCCGGGUCCUCUCCAGGUGGCUCCACCCGUGAUCUGCAUAGUCCGCUGACACCACUUCAGGCCACCUGAGCAGACUCGGUAUCUGUUGCAAGAUUGGAAAACUGGGGUCCAAGACUAAUGACUGGUUCAAGACCCACAGCGAGUCAAUGACGUGGCCCAGGGUAGACGCAAGGUCUGUGCGCUCGCUGGGCCUCCUCUGGAAUGAGCUGCUGAGUCAGGCUGCGAGGGUCUCUGCUGGCGGUCUCCAGCAGACAGGGACAACUGCCAUCUGGAACGGGAACCACGUAAGGAAAUGAGGUUCAGAGACAUUUAGCGAGUCGUCUAAGGUCACCCACCCAGUAAGUGACAGAGCUUGGAUUGCCAUCUUGCCCUGACUCCAGCACUCUCAUUCUCUACCAUGACACUAAACUC